GAGAGAUGACAAUUGAGACCCAAAGAAGGAGACAGACAGACUGGCUGGCGGUUGCAGUGGGAAUUCAGACAGGGACAGAGCACUCCUGGCGGAGAGGAGGCUUCCUGGAGGAGGGGCCUGGGCCCGGACACUGGCAAUGUCAGGAUGGGCUGGUGGCGGCUCUCCAGAUGGCACCCCUGUGGGGGAUGUGGGGGGCCCUGCCUGGCCAUGGGGAGACGAGACUGGCCACCCUACCCUGGCACCACCCCUGGGUCCCCUUUGGGCCCAAGCUGCUAAGUAAGUAGGGCACCCUCUCUCCAGGGACCCCUGUCACACUACUUUAUGCUGCUGGCUCCAGCUGGCCCUCCGUGACAGUGCAGUGCCCAUGUGGCCAGAGACCCAGAAGGGGCCCGGCACUCUGAACAAAGCAGUCUGCCUGGAACUUAAGUGGCCCUGAAACACGAUCAGGCACCAGAGACUGUCCAGGGAGGUGGGUGUAUUAUUUAUUGACUGGGGCCUGCCCAGUGAAGCCAUUUGGGUUUGCCAGACCUGGAAGGAGCCCCCUCAGCAGUGCCUGGGGGCCUUUUGGAGGGCAGGUGGGCGGGGGCCCCAGGGUGCCUGGCACCCUCUCCCCUGGGUGUGGUUUCCUGGAUGCCGACUGAGCAGGGAGGAAGUCAGACGUCAGGACCUGCUGUGGGGAUGGACCCACAGCUCAUCCCCCGGGGCCGCAGAGGCAGGCCAGGCACUGGGGUUCCAGGGACACCUCCGCCCCCUCCACUUUGAGACUGUGAGUACCACCCACCUGGCCCGGGGAGGGGACCUCAGCAGCCCUGAGAAACCUGUGAGGGGCUGGCGACUGUCAGGGCAGCCUGCCGUGGUGAGGGUCUUGGGGGCUGUCGUCAGAGUUUUCACUGUUUCUCAGAGCUGUAUUCUGUGACCCGUUUCUCACUGCCUGGAAUGCACACAGGCUCGCCCUGGGCCCAGGAACACCAGGUGUUUCCCCACAGCCGCAAGGGGAAGUUCUUUAGCUCCCCUGCGCGUUAGACCAGCCCCAGGCCCCAUUAGGGUUGAGAACCAGGGCCCCGCAGCCCACCUGGAUGGCAGGGAGUGUUGGGUCGCUGCCUACGGCCCUCACAACCACCCUGAGAAAGAUGGACUCUUGACAAUGCCCAGUUUACAGCCGAGUAAACUGAGGCCCUCAGAAGUCACACAGAAGUCAGAAGUCCUCAGAGGCCCUCAGAAGUCACACAGUGGCCCAGGGCUCCUGGAGCAUAUUUGGUGUGUUUCCUUCCCACACUGCUGCCCCCCUCAACCCUAUGGUGCAUAAACUUUGAGCAAAUGGAGGUUUAUGGCUGAGGGAACACAAGGCUUCCCCAGGCUGUGUUGAGGAGACACUGCCUUGCAGAAGUCUUCCCUGCCCCAGGCUCGCUGGGGCCAUUUCCCAUCUGGCAGUAGCCCAGCCAGUGUGAGCUGUCCUCUGACCUGCAUGCAAGGGUGAGCUCAUUAGCCCCAUCUGAUGGACUUGCAAACCAAUGCCCAAAAAUCCCAACCAGUGUAACUCCAGUGGCUUCUGGGAAAGAGAGGAUGAGCCACAGGUUCUGAUCAGGUGCUGGAACAAACCACCCUUCUUAAGUGAGUCCCCCACGAACUUAGAAUUUGAGACUCACUCAUUGGCCAGGCUCAAUGGCCUCUGUUCUGCUAUCAAGAGGCUGCUGGGAUGUUACCCAUGGCAGGGAUAGAUGGGGAAGUCACCAUAUUCAAAACAAUCAUGUGUUGAAACACCUCCCCAGCUUCUGAUCUACCGGUAGUGGCAGCGGAAGCAAAUACAGCAAAUCUGAAACCCGAUGCCUACAGAACAGGGGUGUGAAAUGUGACGCCAGAGGCCCCCACACAGAAGUGGGUGUGGACAGCCACCUGCCUGUGAGCAACCAGGGGAAGCUAGCUUGGUGCCGAG
rnacentral:lncRNA from 1 species